rnacentral:rRNA from 1 species
UACGUAGGGUGCGAGCGUUGUCCGGAAUUAUUGGGCGUAAAGAGCUUGUAGGCGGUCUGUCGCGUCUGCUGUGAAAAUCCGGGGCUCAACCCCGGACUUGCAGUGGGUACGGGCAGACUAGAGUGUGGUAGGGGAGACUGGAAUUCCUGGUGUAGCGGUGAAAUGCGCAGAUAUCAGGAGGAACACCGAUGGCGAAGGCGGGUCUCUGGGACGGUACUGACGCUGAGACGCGAAAGCGUGGGGAGCAAACGGG